AAACAACUACGAGUGAAAACUUAAAACUUAAAGGACUUGACGGUGCCCCACAUUCAACCUAGAGGAGCCUGUCCACUAACCGAUAAUCCACGAUUAACCCUACCAUUUCUUGCCACACAGUCUAUAUACCGCCGUCGCCAGCCUACCUUGUGAAAGCCACAUAGUGAGCCUAAUAGCCCCCCACUAAAACGACAGGUCGAGGUGUAACUAAUGAAAUGGCAUAAGAUGGGCUACAUUACCUAAUUAAGGUACACGAACAAAACUAUGAAACUAGUCUUCAAAGAUGGAUUUAGCAGUAAGUUAGGAAUAAAAUACCAAACUGAACACAACGCAAUGGGGUGCGU
rnacentral:rRNA from 1 species